rnacentral:lncRNA from 1 species
UCUCUCUCUCAAAAAAGGAACCAUUCAUGGGCAGAGUUACUUGAACUUUUCUCUGUACACUCUUUAAUCACAUGAAAUAAAUUCAUGGAAAGAAAAAUAGUUACUUGACUUGGAUAGGAUCCUUCUCAUCUUGGCAAAAAUCAGAAAACUGACUUCCAACAAAAUCAAAUGGGUAUAAUAAUUAAGAAGGGAUUUCUCCUUUCAUAUGCAUGAUUUGGAAGUGACAGGAAUUUGGAAAUAUCCCAAGAUUCCCAAUGAUUAUCUAGUCGUCAUUUUUAUUUGAUUAUAUCCAAGUAGUAGAUGUUUAGACAAAAAUUGUUUCCAGGAAUUGGUUCCUAUGGUUGUACUUCAGGGAGCAAAAUGUUUAACAUUAUAAUUAGCAAAUAUAAAGCAACUCAAGCCAACUAUUCAAAGAGGAGACUAAUUAAAAUGGUUUGAGCAUCAGAGUAUGAAUUCAGAAGCUUCACCCAAAGUGUUUCCUAGUCAUCACACCUCACCUAAAAAGAAUGAUCAGGGUUCUGUUUAUAUGACCAUUCCUUCAACCUGUUGGCAUCAGUUUGUCUCAGGAGAAAAUGGCUGCCUUUGGGGGUGAAGUCAAACCAUUGUAGGGUUACAGCUCCUGCUGUGGCUGUAGAUACUGAAAUGGGAGAGACAUGCUUUGUUGCAGCUGGGGCAGAGGAAGACAAACAUUUUUUGAAACUAAACGGAUUCCAGUUGUGGGAACGUGUUAUUAUUUUUAUUAUUAUUAGUCAAAGUGGCUUGCAUAAAUGGAUUGUGAAGAGAGGGAUAUUCCAAAACUUCUAAAUACAAAUAACCUCAUAGAGUUUUACUCCAGCAGGAACAUUGCAAAUAAUGUUUCAGCUGCACAGUAGAAACCCUCUCCUUCCUUGGAGGUUUUUUAGCAGAGGUUGGAUGGCCAUCUGUCAUGGAUGCUUUAGCUGAGAUUCCUGCAUUGCAGGAGGUUGGACUGGAUGACCCUUGGGAUCCCUUUCAACUCCACGAUUCUGUGACCCAGUGAUAGGUAGCUGUGGCAUGCUGAAGGGAAGGAAGCAGAAAGGUGGCUGAUACUGCAGCGGCCCUCGGGUGCAUGCUCCCCGCAGCUGGGUUUAGUUGGGUCUUGCAACCCUGUGCUGGGACAUUGCAAGUGUUGGGGAGAGGGCUAGACCUGCCUUAUUUACUCCUGAUAUGUUCUGUGGCUAGAGCACUGGUUGCUGGCCCUCUUGGAGAGAAAGCUAAGUGGGAGAAUAAGGUACUAGGCUGCUUGGACCAUUUGUGAUCCACAAAUGCCUAUGCCUCCUAAGCAUUACAGAGGAAACAUCUGAAAGAAAUAUUGACUAAGUAUUGAGGUUUCGGUGUGUGACCUAGAGCCUAUACACAAAUCUCAUCCAUCACACCAUACUUUCUAUGCCAAUUUCAAGCACUUAGUCUUGUGAACCAAAUAAAGUUCACCAAGUAGAUAAAAUUAAGUGAGCCAGCUCACAUACGCUGGGGCCAAAGUCCAGUUCCAAAGCACUGAAGGAUGAAGGAAUGUCAUCAAGACUCAUAGUUCCAGGCUUGCGUGGCUUGCCUUAAAAACAGGGCGGAAUUUAAUACUUGUGUAGCAGGGAAUCUCUCUCAUUACCCCAACCAAUGAACGCCCACUCUCUAAUACCCUAAAUCUCCUCCCUCCACCCUGAUUUAUACUAAUACUCUGGCAGAAAUAAGUGCUGGAGGAAGAACAGAAAACAAGUAUUUCAGGAAAAGACUAGAAAGACGGGAGUUUGAAGACAUACACAACAUUAUAUAGGUAGAUUCAUCUGUGCAGCCACAGGGAAAUAACAAUUUCUGAUUUGGCUGCUGAAGCAGACCCUGUCCUUUAAGUAUAUUGCAUAUAAAGAACACAUUUUAAUUUGAAUACUGAUGAUGUGAGAGGGAAAGUGGAAAGCUGUCUACAACAGUGAGCUUUAACUAACCUUGUAUAACUCCUCCCCUCAAAAUGCUUAGACCCCGAUGCAUUACAUGUUGCUUCUGCUAUUCUACUCAGGAAAGAAAGACACUAGACCUUUGCGAUUGUGCUCUAAUGUUGUUUCUGAACCUCAUGUACAGAAGCAGUCGCUUUCCCAGUGGGGAAAUUUCCGCAUCGUAGAAUUCUUACUUCCUUAGGUACAGAAAUAAUGCUGAAGCAAAUUCUUCCAUACGUCGCAUUCAGAAAGGGUUUAGAGUGUUAGCUAACUGCUUUUCGUCUCUCACUGGGGAAGAAACCUUUUAAGGGUGUCAUGGCCAGAUAAGGAAGUGCAUUCAAAGGGCUUUCUAGAUGAAGGGAUAGCAAUUCCCAGUGGUCUACAAGUUUAUUCAACCAGGGCUAUUGUCUCAUUGUGAGUAAAGAUAGAACAGGCAUGGGUGACUGACUAGACCAAACCUCCCUUGGUAAUAGAUUCAUGAUGUUAUAAACCAUUACAUGAUGAAAAUCAGCAAGGCCAACCAAAAUUAUGGGCCCUGCUGCCUGAUGGCAGGCACCUUUCUGUCAUUUAUACACCUCAGAAAUGACAAAUACACCA